GACGAACGCUGGCGGCGUGCUUAACACAUGCAAGUCGAACGGUGAAGCGCCUUCCUUUUUGGUGGGUGUGGAUGAGUGGCGAACGGGUGAGUAACACGUGAGUAACCUGCCCCCUUCUUCUGGAUAACCGCAUGAAAGUGUGGCUAAUACGGGAUAUUCUGGGUCUGUCGCAUGAUGGGUCUGGGAAAGAUAUUGUUUCGGUGGGGGAUGGGCUCGCGGCCUAUCAGCUUGUUGGUGGGGUGAUGGCCUACCAAGGCGGUGACGGGUAGCCGGCCUGAGAGGGUGGACGGACACACUGGGACUGAGACACGGCCCAGACUCCUGCGGGAGCCAGCAGUGGGUAAUAUUGCACAAUGGGCGCAAGCCUGAUGCAGCGUCGCCGCGUGAGGGAUGGAGGCCUUCGGGUUGUGAACCUCUUUCGCCAGUGAAGCAGGCCUGCCUCGUUUGUGGGUGGGUUGACGGUAGCUGGAUAAGAAGCGCCGGCUAACUACGUG
rnacentral:rRNA from 1 species